rnacentral:rRNA from 1 species
GACCCCGUGAACCUUUACUAUAGCUUGACACUGAACAUUGAGCCUUGAUGUGUAGGAUAGGUGGGAGGCUUUGAAGUGUGGACGCCAGUCUGCAUGGAGCCGACCUUGAAAUACCACCCUUUAAUGUUUGAUGUUCUAACGUGGAUCCGUGAUCCGGGUUGCGGACAGUGUCUGGUGGGUAGUUUGACUGGGGCGGUCUCCUCCUAAAGAGUAACGGAGGAGCACGAAGGUUGGCUAAUCCUGGUCGGACAUCAGGAGGUUAGUGCAAUGGCAUAAGCCAGCUUGACUGCGAGCGUGACGGCGCGAGCAGGUGCGAAAGCAGGUCAUAGUGAUCCGGUGGUUCUGAAUGGAAGGGCCAUCGCUCAACGGAUAAAAGGUACUCCGGGGAUAACAGGCUGAUACCGCCCAAGAGUUCAUAUCGACGGCGGUGUUUGGCACCUCGAUGUCGGCUCAUCACAUCCUGGGGCUGAAGUAGGUCCCAAGGGUAUGGCUGUUCGCCAUUUAAAGUGGUACGCGAGCUGGGUUUAGAACGUCGUGAGACAGUUCGGUCCCUAUCUGCCGUGGGCGCUGGAGAACUGAGGGGGGCUGCUCCUAGUACGAGAGGACCGGAGUGGACGCAUCACUGGUGUUCGGGUUGUCAUGCCAAUGGCACUGCCCGGUAGCUAAAUGCGGAAGAGAUAAGUGCUGAAAGCAUCUAAGCACGAAACUUGCCCCGA